rnacentral:rRNA from 1 species
UACGUAGGGGGCAAGCGUUUGUCCGGAAUUAUUGGGCGUAAAGAGCGUGUAGGCGGCCAGAUAAGUCCGCUGUGAAAACUCGAGGCUCAACUUCGAGCUGUCGGUGGAAACUUUCUGGCUAGAGUCCGGAAGAGGAGAAUGGAAUUCCAGGUGUAGCGGUGAAAUGCGUAGAUAUCUGGAGGAAUACCGGUGGCGAAGGCGGCAUCCUGGACCGGCAUUGACGCUGAGGAGCGAAAGCUAGGGGAGCAAACGGG